rnacentral:rRNA from 1 species
UAACACGUGGGUAACCUGCCUUAUAGUGGGGGAUAGCCUUUCGAAAGGAAGAUUAAUACCGCAUAAGAUUGUAGUAUCGCAUGAUAUAGCAAUUAAAGGAGCAAUUCGCUAUAAGAUGGACCCGCGUCGCAUUAGCUAGUUGGUGAGGUAAUGGCUCACCAAGGCGACGAUGCGUAGCCGACCUGAGAGGGUGAUCGGCCACAUUGGGACUGAGACACGGCCCAGACUCCUACGGGAGGCAGCAUGU